AUUGAACGCUGGCGGCAUGCCUAACACAUGCAAGUCGAACGGCAGCAUGGCUGAAUGCUUGCAUUUAGCUGAUGGCGAGUGGCGGACGGGUGAGUAACGCGUAGGAAUCUACCUUUAAGUUGGGGACAACCCGGGGAAACUCGGGCUAAUACCGAAUAAUUUCCGAGGAAAAAAGCUGGGGACCUUAGGGCCUGGCGCUUAAAGAGGAGCCUGCGUACGAUUAGCUAGUUGGUAGGGUAAAGGCCUACCAAGGCGACGAUCGUUAGCUGGUCUGAGAGGAUGACCAGCCACACUGGGACUGAGAGACGGCCCAGACUCCUACGGGAGGCAGCAGUGGGGAAUAUUGGACAAUGGGGGCAACCCUGAUCCAGCGAUGCCGCGUGUGUGAAGAAGGCCUGAGGGUUGUAAAGCACUUUAGUUGGGGAAGAAAUUACUUAGUUUAAGAGACAGAGUAUGAGACAUGAACCAAAGAAUAAGCACCGGCUAACUCCGUGCCAGCAGCCGCCGUAACAC
rnacentral:rRNA from 1 species